CAGCUCAAAUUUGAAAUCUGGCUCUUUCAGAGUCCGAGUUGUAAUUUGCAGAGGGCGCUUUGGCGUUGGCAGCGGUCCAAGUUCUUUGGAACAGGACGUCACAGAGGGUGAGAAUCCCGUACGUGGUCGCUAGCCUUCGCCGUGUAAAGCCCCUUCGACGAGUCGAGUUGUUUGGGAAUGCAGCUCUAAAUGGGAGGUAAAUUUCUUCUAAAGCUAAAUACUGGCCAGAGACCGAUAGCGCACAAGUAGAGUGAUCGAAAGAUGAAAAGCACUUUGGAAAGAGAGUCAAAUAGCACGUGAAAUUGUUGAAAGGGAAGCGCUUGCAGCCAGACUUGCCUGUAGUUGCUUAUCUGGACUUUUGUCCGGUGCACUCUUCUGCGGGCAGGCCAGCAUCAGUUUGGGCGGUUGGAUAAAGGUCUCUGUCAUGUACCUCCUUUCGGGGAGGCCUUAUAGGGGAGACGACAUGCAACCAGCCUGGACUGAGGUCCGCGCAUCUGCUAGGAUGCUGGCGUAAUGGCUGUAAGCGGCCCGUCUUGAAACACGGACCAAGGAGUCUAACAUCUAUGCGAGUGUUUGGGUGUCAAGCCCAGACGCGUAAUGAAAGUGAACGGAGGUGGGAACCUUUUAGGUGCACCAUCGACCGAUCCUGAUGUCUUCGGAAGGAUUUGAGUAAGAGCAUGGCUGUUGGGACCCGAAAGAUGGUGAACUAUGCUUGAAUAGGGUGAAGCCAGAGGAAACUCUGGUGGAGGCUCGCAGCGGUUCUGACGUGCAAAUCGAUCGUCAAAUUUGGGCAUAGGGGCGAAAGACUAAUCGAACUAUCUAGUAGCUGGUUCCUGCCGAAGUUUCCCUCAGGAUAGCAGUAACGUAUUCAGUUUUAUGAGGUAAAGCGAAUGAUUAGAGGCCUGGGGGUUGAAACAACCUUCACCUAUUCUCAAACUUUAAAUAUGUAAGAAGUCCUUGUUACUUGAUUGAACGUGGACACUUGAAUGUA
rnacentral:rRNA from 1 species